UCCGAAUGAAAAAAAUUUAUAAACAACAAUGUUCAAGUCAAGUUCAUGAAGAUUUGCCGGCUAGGAACACCAAUGUAUAUUACCUUCCAAUUCAGGAUUAAACAAAGUGCCCACCCAGAUGCCAUUCUUCAGGAUCACCAAUUCAUUAUGCAGUAUGCGCCACACCUACAUUCAUAUGCAUUGAGGGGGCUAUAUAUGCUUGAAUAUGAAAGCGAAAUUAAUUUUUCCACACAACAAAUACAGAUUACCAGUAUCCUAGAAAGGCAUACUGUCUCAGAUAAAAGGUACUUCUGACUAGGAUUUAACUUAGGAGUCUUUACAUCAUUAUGGAGGACCAUGAGUUGAAUUCUGCAACUGAGUGAGGGCCCUCAGUUUCUCAUAAACAUCAGAGCAUGUAUGAGCAUAGUCUGACAUAGCUCGGAAUAGCUCAGGCAACCGAAUCUUUAGACUUCCUAGUGACUUCUCUCUCACCUGAAUGCAAUGUCUUUGGUGAGCUUCAACUUCUUCAUGCAUUUUCUUCUUCAAGCUCUCCACUGCGAAUUGCCUCUCUAAUACUGGAUCCUUGGAAUUUGCAUCUUCACCUCUUUCAGCAUCUGUUUCAUCAGUUGAUGUUCUACGCUGCAUGUACUUUUGAUACCAUUCGUCAAAUGCCUGAUUCUUACGAAGAAAUUCCUUCCUGGUUUCUUCACAUUUCUCUUUUAGCUUCAGCUCUUCUUCCUGAUGCAGUUCUAUGGUUUUUAUGACAGCAGCAAAGGAUGAGAUAGCAGAUUUGGCCACAUCAUCUGGAAGCUUUUCUAGAUAAUCAUGCCAUGAGUGGAGGAGGGCUUGGAUAGGGGGAUUCGGGGCUUUUGGCGGUGAUGAUAUUUUCUCUUUCAAGCUGCUUUCAAUUGGGAUUAGAUUUAACCUUAACCAGUUAUGAAGAGUUUGAAUGCAUUGCUUUUGAUGGGUCACAAGUUUUUCAAAUUGUGAAUGCCAUCCUUGCACUACAUUAUAAAGUUGUUUGGUGCGCUCAUGAUGAUGUCUUGUAGUUUCCUUAACAUGGCCGACAUCCAGGGACUUUAGGUCUGUAACAAUCUUCAGCUGGCCAUCAUGAUGUAUGCACAUACUGGUCCACAUUUUGGCCAUCCCGUUAACAAGAUCAACAAGUCUUGGAUACAGCUGCUUGUCACGUAUAUCAUUGACUUCUGAAACAGUAGAGUCCAUGGACUGCAUGUCAACUAUAUACCUCGUAUGCAGAUGACUUACAGCUGCUUUCGUUUUUUCCAAGGAUUCAGCACUGGCACCAUGCUUCUUCUGCCUAUUUAACUGAGCAACUUUCUUCCUAUACUCAAGCUUCAUAAGCUCUCCUUGCUUUACUUCAUCAUAGAGCUUUUUUUCCCAUGCUAACAACUUAUCUAAUAUAGUGGCAUGAGUCUCAUAAUCUUCAGAAUCAAGUUCAUUCUUGCCACCUUCACCAUUAGGUACACCUCUGAAUGACCUAUUCCACGUGAUGACAUGCAUAACUCUAGCAGAAUGAUCAACAUAUCCUCUGUUGUCUGCAAAAUUGGAGUGGUAAUGCAAGCAAGUGGCCUCGAGCAUCUUUGAAACCUUCUCUGCGCUCUCCGAUGCCUUCAGGAAAUGAUCAUCAAUCUCGCCCAAAACCUGCAUUAAAUUCACAGUAGGAACCGGAAACACCUUCUUCCCAGCCACUUUAAAAUCAGGAGAUGCUGUUUUCGAAUGCUCAAUCUGUUUCUCCGUCUUAGACUCCUUCUCCUCCUCCUCCUCCGCCACGGUAGCCAAGUGUUCAGUCGGUUUCUCCGGCGUCUUCGGCUCAACCCCACUGAUUUCACCACCACUGGGAUUCUCAAUGCUACCAAAUCGAACGCCCACAUCCUGCUCAACACUGCCAAAGGUAUUGCCAUUUCUAUUCGCGUCAACUUCAGGUUCCAAAGACGGCCCCGGCAUAUGGUCCACAUUAAAGAAGUAAUCCCAAGCCAUAUUCUUGGACUCCGGCAUUGGUGGCACGGCGUGAUUUUCCGGUGUCCUUGGUGGGGACCGCGGUGUUUCCUCCGGUCCCACCUUCCCAUUAGGUGGGCCCCGCGACCCGCUUAAAUCUUUAUUCUUUUUAUCAUUAUUGACAUUCCCAUUUCGAGCUCCGUGAUCUAAUCCACGUUCCUCUUCCUCCUCAUCCUCCUCCUCUUCCUCUGCAAUGGCAGUGGAAUCAAUUUCUUCCCCCGCCUUUCGAUGCAGCUUCAUGGGGAUCUCCGGCAUGCUCAACGCACGCUUGAUGGGAUUAGGACUAGGACUAGGAGAGAAAUCAGGCAGCGGAGGAGGAGGAGGAAGAGGAAAGCUCUCCAUGGACGGUGGAGGAGGAGGGGGAGGCGGAGGACGCUGAGAAAUGGGCUCAAGGGGAGAUUGCUGGAGGUGGGAGUGGGGUUCUUGGACUUCACCCUGGGCAUAAUCACUAAGCGCAGCACCGGUAUUCUUAAGAGAAAUAGCAUAGCCAGAAUGACCAGCAGCGAAGGCGUUCCGAGUAACCACAGCCUCCUUCAUAAGGAUUUUCCUCUCCUUACACCUGGCCACCGAUUCUUCAUCGUCCACCUUAGACUGAGCACAGCCCAUUUCGAGGACUACUCCUGGCCAAAUUUCAGAGUCUGGUUUGAAAAAUAAAAAAAUGGCGUAAAGGGUUCAACAGUUGGUUUGGUGGGUUGGGUUUGGUUUGGUUUGGUAGCUUAACACACAAGAGAGAGAGAGAGUAUUUGAUAAUGGUGAAUUGGAGAGCAUGAUGUGAGAGAGGGGAGGAAGAAAGAGCCAAGCUAGUACAGAGGUGUGUGCAGUGAGCAGCGAGAGCAGCGAGGCAUGCUUUUACGGGACUUCUUGAGAGUACGAAAUAGAGUGUACUCGCUGGGUUUGGGUUUUUAGGUGCGUGCG
rnacentral:misc_RNA from 1 species